rnacentral:rRNA from 1 species
AACGGCGAGCGAACGGGGAUCAGCCCAUCGCCUAGUCCGCCGCCAGAAUGGCGGUCCGGAGAUUCGGCGUAUAGGAGAGACUCUUCCGAGAACAACCUCCGGUGCAAGUCCCCCUGACUGGGGCUCUUACCCCGAGAGGGUGCAAGGCCCGUAGCUGCCGGAAGGUUGUCCCGGAUGUCCUCUCCUGGGAGUCGGGUUGCUUGAGAGUGCAGCCCUAAUUAGGUGGUAAACUCCAUCUAAGGCUAAAUACGACCUGGAGACCGAUAGCGAACAAGUACCGUGAGGGAAAGUUGAAAAGGACUUUGAAGAGAGAGUUCAAGAGUACGUGAAACCGUUCGGAGGUAAACGAGUGGGCCCUCGAAGUCGGAAGGCGGGGGGACUCAGCCGAAGGCGUGGAUCCUGCGCGAGACACCCGGCUUCCCAAACAGGACCGGGCGCUCGCGAUUGUGGGUCUCGUCGCCGGCGCAUUUCUUCCCGUCCUCAGACGCUGCGACCGGUCGUGCACGCCACGAGCAGUCGGCCUUACUCGCGGGAAGCGGCAGGUAACCGGGUAGUGCUUCGGCGCUUUCCCGGUCUUUAGCCAUCCCGUUUUCGAGUUGCCGUUCGCACGACCGAAGGACACGGCCCCCAGGGGCCUCGCCGCGGCUUCCCUUCACGGGAUGGUUGCUCUCUCGGAAGAGAUGUCGUCGUCCUCCCGUUUCACCCCAGGUGUGCGGGAGGCGGCGGCGCUCGUUGGCCGGGAGGCUCUCCAUCGGCCGCAGGCGGUCGGCAGCGAGUAGGUCGGUCACCCACUCGACCCGUCUUG